UUUCCGUAGGUGAACCUGCGGAAGGAUCAUUAUUGAAUGAAACACCUCUGGCUUUAUGCUGUUGUGCUGGCCCUUUGGGCAAUGUGCACACGGCUCUGGUCACUUGUUUCUUCUGUUCCACCUGUGCACUGCCUGUAGACACGCUGUGUCUACGAUAUUUGUUAACACACAACAAUGUUAGUUGGCAUGUUAUAUAUAAUAAUAAAAUAUACAACUUUCAACAACGGAUCUCUUGGCUCUC
rnacentral:misc_RNA from 1 species